UACGGGGGGGGUAAGCGUUGUUCGGAAUUAUUGGGCGUAAAGAGCUCGUAGGCGGCUCGUCGCGUCGACCGUGAAAACCCGCGGCUUAACUGCGGGCUUGCGGUCGAUACGGGCAGGCUAGAGUUCGGUAGGGGAGACUGGAAUUCCUGGUGUAGCGGUGAAAUGCGCAGAUAUCAGGAGGAACACCGGUGGCGAAGGCGGGUCUCUGGGCCGAUACUGACGCUGAGGAGCGAAAGCGUGGGGAGCGAACAGG
rnacentral:rRNA from 1 species